rnacentral:tRNA from 1 species
CGGCCACUGGCGUAGUGGUCUAAACGCAUCUCGAUAUCAAAGAGACGGUCGCAGGUUCGAACUCUGCCUGCUUGG